CGGCUGUUUGGGGCUACCCGUGGUCCGGGGCAGCUCAGGGCUGCCCACGGUCCGGUUUGACUCGGGGUGGCCGC